UACGUAGGGUGCGAGCGUUAAUCGGAAUUACUGGGCGUAAAGCGUGCGCAGGCGGUUCGUUAAGUCAGAUGUGAAAGCCCCGGGCUCAACCUGGGAACUGCAUUUGAGACUGCUCUGCUCGGGUGCGGAAGAGGGAAGCGGAAUUUCCGGUGUAGCGGUGAAAUGCGUAGAUAUCGGAAGGAACACCAGUGGCGAAAGCGGCUUCCUGGUCCGACACCGACGUUCGGCACGAAAGCGUGGGGAGCAAACAGG
rnacentral:rRNA from 1 species